AAUAGCUGCCCUGACAAGCCAGCACAGAUUUAUCCUAUGAUAUAGGAUGGCAGUGUCAUUGUGCACCAUUUGAUCAUGAGAAGAUGUAAAUGCCCUUGUCCCUCGUCCAAGUUUACCACAGCUAUACAGACUGCCCACACCAUCUCUCACUUCUCUGUCGGUUCGUGCUGGUCUCUACAAGAAGGCCGAGACCAAUCUUAGGGACACGUGGCCUCAUUUCCACCACCCUGUGCCUCCUGCAUUGAGGACUGAGGCAGAAUCUGCCUCAACGUGUUGCUGUUUGGUUCUAGUGAUGAUCGCACUCUAUUUCACCUCUACUCCCAGCUGUAUUCUACCAAUACCAUCAAAAACCACUGAGAAUACAGUUCCUGAUUUUCUCUUC